GACGAACGCUGGCGGCGUGCUUAACACAUGCAAGUCGAACGGAAAGGCCCUGCUUUUGUGGGGUGCUCGAGUGGCGAACGGGUGUGUAACACGUGAGUAACCUGCCCUUGACUUUGGGAUAACUUCAGGAAACUGGGGCUAAUACCGGAUAGGAGCUCCUGCUGCAUGGUGGGGGUUGGAAAGUUUCGGCGGUUGGGGAUGGACUCGCGGCUUAUCAGCUUGUUGGUGGGGUAGUGGCUUACCAAGGCUUUGACGGGUAGCCGGCCUGAGAGGGUGACCGGCCACAAUGGGACUGAGAUACGGCCCAGACUCCUACGGGAGGCAGCAGUGGGGAAUAUUGCACAAUGGGCGGAAGCCUGAUGCAGCAACGCCGCGUGCGGGAUGACGGCCUUCGGGUUGUAAACCGCUUUCGCCUGUGACGAAGCGUGAGUGACGGUAAUGGGUAAAGAAGCACCGGCUAACUACGUG
rnacentral:rRNA from 1 species